CCCUUAGAUGUCCUGGGCCGCACGCGCGCUACACUGACGGAGGCAGCGAGCUUACCCCUUUGCCGAAAGGCAUGGGAAAUCUUUUGAAUCUCCGUCGUGCUGGGGAUAGAUCAUUGCAAUUAUUGAUCUUGAACGAGGAAUUCCUAGUAAGCGCAAGUCAUCAACUUGCGUUGAUUACGUCCCUGCCCUUUGUACACACCGCCCGUCGCUCCUACCGAUUGGGUGUGCUGGUGAAAUGUUCGGAUCGGCCGUUUGUCGCGGUUUCCGCGUCAUGUGGCUGAGAAGUUCAUUAAACCCUCCCACCUAGAGGAAGGAGAAGUCGUAACA
rnacentral:rRNA from 1 species